UACAUGGGGUGCAAACGUUGCUCGGAAUUAUUGGGCGUAAAGCGCACGUAGGCGGUUCGUUAAGUCGGAUGUGAAAGCCCUCGGCUCAACUGAGGAAGUGCACCCCGAAACUGGCGAGCUUUGAGUACGAAAAGAGGAUGCGGAAUUCCCGGUGUAGAGGUGAAAAUUCGUAGAUAUCGGGGAGGAACACCGGUGGCGAAGGCGGCGAUCUGGGGUCGAUACUGACGCUGAGGUGCGAAAAGCGUGGGGGAGCAAACAGGGAUUAGAAAACCCC
rnacentral:rRNA from 1 species